GGGCGAGUGGCGAAAUGGCAGACGCGCACGGUUCAGGUCCGUGUCCUGGAAACGGGGUGGGGGUUCAACUCCCCCCUCGCCCACCA
rnacentral:tRNA from 1 species